rnacentral:rRNA from 1 species
GCGAACGCUGGCGGCCGGCCUCACCCAUGCAAGUCGCACGCACUCUUCGGAGUUAGUGGCGGACGGGUGAGUAACACGUGGGAACGUGCCUUUUGGUUCGGAAUAACUCAGGGAAACUUGUGCUAAUACCGAAUGUGCCCUUCGGGGGAAAGAUUUAUCGCCAUUAGAGCGGCCCGCGUCUGAUUAGCUAGUUGGUGAGGUAACGGCUCACCAAGGCGACGAUCAGUAGCUGGUCUGAGAGGAUGACCAGCCACACUGGGACUGAGACACGGCCCAGACUCCUACGGGAGGCAGCAGUGGGGAAUCUUGCGCAAUGGGCGAAAGCCUGACGCAGCCAUGCCGCGUGAAUGAUGAAGGUCUUAGGAUUGUAAAAUUCUUUCACCGGGGACGAUAAUGACGGUACCCGGAGAAGAAGCCCCGGCUAACUUCGUG